UGCCGGACCCGACUGCUAUCGGAUUGGGAUUUAGCCAUGUUAGUUGUGCGUUCCUUGGCUACAGGGGACGCAGCAUACGGCUCAGUAACACGUAGUCAACCUGCCCUGGAGACGCGGACAAACCCGGGAAACUGGGGCCUAUCCGCGAUAGAUGACCUCAUCUGGAAGGAGAGGUCGUCCAAAAGGGCGCACGGGUAUGCUCUGUGCGCAUCGCUCCAGGAUGGGACUGCGGCCGAUCAGGCUGUUGGCGGGGUAAUGGCCCACCAAACCUGUAACCGGUACGGGCUUUGAGAGAAGGAGCCCGGAGAUGGACACUGAGACAAGGGUCCAGGCCCUACGGGGCGCAUCAGGCGCGAAAACUUCGCAAUGCGCGAAAGCGUGACGAGGCUAGUCCGAGUGCUUCCUGCUAAAGGGGGCUUUUCUCGGCUGUAAAUAGGCCGGGGAAUAAGGGGAGGGCAAGUCUGGUGU
rnacentral:rRNA from 1 species